UACGUAGGCAGCGAGCGUUGUUCGGAAUUACUGGGCGUAAAGAGCGUGUAGGCGGCUAGAUAGGUCCGUUGUGAAAACUCGAGGCUCAACCUCGAGACGCCGGUGGAAACCAUCUAGCUAGAGUCCGGAAGAGGAGAGUGGAAUUCCUGGUGUAGCGGUGAAAUGCGCAGAUAUCAGGAAGAACACCCGUGGCGAAGGCGGCUCUCUGGUACGUGACUGACGCUGAGACGCGAAAGCGUGGGGAGCGAACAGG
rnacentral:rRNA from 1 species